rnacentral:rRNA from 1 species
CGGGGCCCGCACAAGCAGCGGAGCAUGUGGUUUAAUUCGAAGCAACGCGAAGAACCUUACCAGGUCUUGACAUCCAGUUAAAGCCGUAGAGAUACGGUGUGCCCUUCGGGCGAACUGAGACAGGUGGUGCAUGGUUGUCGUCAGCUCGUGUCGUGAGAUGUUGGGUUAAGUCCCGCAACGAGCGCAACCCUUGCUGAUAAUUACUAACGCGUGAUGGCGAGGACUUUAUUGGGACUGCCGGGGACAACUCGGAGGAAGGUGGGGACGACGUCAAAUCAUCAUGCCCCUUAUGACCUGGGCUACACACGUGCUACAAUGGCCGAGACAGAGAGAAGCGAGGGCGCAAGCCGGAGCGGAUCUGCCAAAAGCGGUCACAGUUCAGAUUGUGGGCUGCAACCCGCCCACAUGAAGCAGGAGUUGCUAGUAAUCGCGGAUCAGCAUGCCGCGGUGAAUACGUUCCCGGGCCUU